CUCUUCCGGUUCUAGGCACUUCGGGAGCCGCGGCUUAUGGUGCAGACAUGGCCAAGUCCAAGAACCACACCACACACAACCAGUCCCGAAAAUGGCACAGAAAUGGUAUCAAGAAACCCCGAUCACAAAGAUACGAAUCUCUUAAGGGGGUGGACCCCAAGCUCCCAAAGGUACCCAGGCCCCUACAAAGGCUUCAGAGUAGAUAUCUCUGCCAACAUGAGGACAGAAGGACUGGUGCGACCCCCCACCCCCACCCCUGGGCUAUCAUCUGCAUGGGGCUGGGGUCCUCCUGUGCUAUUUGUACAAAUAAACCUGAG
rnacentral:lncRNA from 1 species